CAGCCCGGGCGACAGGCUGAUCAUUCCAGUGCCUGAGACUCCUUCAGGACACCCAGAGAGGAGCGACCAAGCAAAGGGAUGUGAAUCCUUCCCGCUCUCGGGGGCUGUAGGGGAGAACAGGAGCCGCUUGUACUGCGAGCCGCAGAGCCCCUUUCACCAAACGACCCUUGCUAAGCAGGCUUUGACUUGGACCUCUUUUGUCCCUGUGGAUUCACAUGGGCACCACGGGGGUGUUACCCAAGUUUGCCUUCUCUGAUGACUCCUACCAGACUGCACCCUUGCUGCCAAUGGAACAGGAUUCGUUCUCAAAAUAAUUCUUCUGGAUCCCUAGACCCAAUCAGGUACCAUGAUUUAGUUUGCCUAUUUGCAAAAGGAUACUGAGAUGAAGUCUUAAGCUAUAUUUCUUUCUCUUAUGUUUGAAGUUACAAAUAUAACUGAAGAUACAAAUAUCCCGUAAGUAAAACAUCCUUUUCAUGUUAUCACUGAAAAGUUUCUACAACCUGACAUUGUCAAAUUUGAAAUAAAAGGUUUUGCAAAGUAUUGUACUUAAUCUUAAUGUCUUUGACACAGACUAUAGAAGGAUGAUGUUGUUUGUUUUUUUUUCUUAACUGAUUUUACAUUACACAAGUGCAAGUAAACAUUAGAGGAGAAUAAUGUGUUAGUUCACCAUCACAGCAUAGUAUUUUAACCGCGGUAAAUAUACAGAUCUUAAACACAGAGACCAAGUAACAAUAAGAAAAGAAUUAACCUAUUCAAUAUAUAUCAUUUAAAAUGACUCUGCUUAGUGUGAUUUCACUAAAUAAAUUACAAUAUUCUGCUUUUAAAGAAGACAGCAUUCAAUAAGAGUAUUUGUAGCUAUUUACUCACUAUCUGAACAGUUAUUUAUGCAUAUAUAACAUAUAAAAUCAUACUUAUCUAUUUCUAUUAGGUUUCUAUUAUGUUUCCAGGUUAAGAGCAUUUUCUGUGUUUGCCUGAGGGUUAAAUUAUCUUCAGGAUUUCUCUUAAUUUUAAUUUUAUUUCUAAGUAUAGGUGGUCUUUAGAGUACUGAUAUAAAAAUUUUGGAGUUUAACCCCUGGUAUCUGUUCAAAGCAAGAUUUCUCAAAAUAUAUAAAUAUUUUUAUUACUUAGAAAUCCAUAAAAAAAUAUUACUACAAAAUUCGUCUCUUCAUAAACAUCAAGGAGCCAUAUUUUCAGCUGCAACAAGCUUCUUUAGCAGUCAUCUAUGUUCUGCCCUCUACUCCCCAAUUGUACAGAAUGUAUUGAAAGGACUAAAAUCUAUCUGAUUCUUUAAAAUAUCUCACAACUUUAAGAAGCCUUUGUUUGUUAAAGGGAGAACUGGAGUGAAUAUUAUCUGAUCUAAUCACUUAUCCCUAAUUUAAAUCUACCAGAAUGAAGACAACAAUAAAACUAAUGACUCCCACACUUGCUUUGCAUUGCAAAUGAUAGUGCUGAAUUAGUCACCUUCACCAGGGGAGUUGAGACUUGGCCCAAGGAAAAGACUUUUAACACAAAUCUGCCAUAGAACUGUGGGAAGCUGCAGCAGUAGCUCUCUAUCCAUGCAUCCAUAUUAAGGAAAGCCCAUGGAUUGUACCAGUUUUUAGAGUACUGCCACACAC